GUACAGGUAACAUUAAUACAAAUCAAGCAAUAAUAAAAAUAAAUAUGUCAAGACUGUCAUAAAUUUUUAGUAGUUCAGUAGGAGUUUCCUUAAAAUUCCCUGAUAGCCAAAAUAACAGUGAUAUCCAAUAGCUCCAGGUAUUCUAAGAAAUGAUGAAACCACAAAGACUAAAGAGUUCCAGAUCUUUAACAUCGGGUGAAAAGAAAGUGAUAGUUAUUGAAAAACUGAAGAAAAACGCUUCGUUUGAAAAAGUUACACCACCAUGUAAAGAGAACGCUGUAGACGUAAUAAAAAGUCGGAAAACAGUGCCUGGAAAACUGUCCCCUGGAUGCAAGAAAGAAAUUUUCAUUGCAAGAAAGAAGAGCCCCAUCGAUUUAGGCAGUACCAGUAAACAAUCUACGAAUUUUGUUUGCUUUUGCAAUAAUGUGCUAUAAACUGAUAAAAAACCAACAGAACUUACCUUCUCCUGUUCUGGAUUUCCGCUUAACAACUUAAACAUAGCUGUAAUAGAUUUUUCUUUAUUGUUUUCAACUGUA